rnacentral:sRNA from 1 species
UCAUUUUGUUGUGUGAGGAAUGGCACUGCGGAGAUUCUAAAGUUAACAUUAAAAUACCUUUAUGUUUUUUUCUUUUUGAAAAUAGGUCAUUUUAUGCCACCUGAAAAAGUACAUAAAGAACUCUUUAAAGACUGGAAUAUUCCAUUUAAGCAGCCAUCAUAUCCAUCAGUGAAACGGUAUAAUCGGAAUCGGACACUAACACAAAAGCUACGGAUGGAGGAGCGAUUUAAAAAGAAAGAAAGAUUACUCAGGAAGAAAUUAGCUAAAAAAGGAAUUGAUUAUGAUUUUCCUUCUUUGAUUUUACAGAAAACGGAAAGUAUUUCAAAAACUAAUCGUCAGACGUCUACAAAAGGCCAGGUUUUACGUAAGAAGAAGAAAAAAGUUUCAGGUACUCUUGACACUCCUGAGAAGACUGUGGAUAGCCAGGGCCCCACACCAGUUUGUACACCAACAUUUUUGGAGAGGCGAAAAUCUCAAGUGGCUGAACUGAAUGAUGAUGAUAAAGAUGAUGAAAUAGUUUUCAAACAGCCCAUAGCCUGUGUAAAAGAAGAAAUACAAGAGACUCAAACACCUACACAUUCACGGAAAAAAAGACGAAGAAGAAGCAAUCAGUGAUUUUCAAUGUAUUAUAUUUCUUUUGAAAAAUAUAAUAUUUUUAUGAGA